GCCCACCGAAACCUCUUGCAUCUGGUGAUCCCCCACGACCUGCCUUCAUCCCGAGCACCCACCACCUCCACCCUCGCGCGAGCUGUCCGCCGACUCCCUCCCGCGCGCCGCCGGCCGCCACCUCCCUCCCCCGUGCCGCCGGACACCGCCUCCCUCCCCCGUGCCGUGGGACGAUGCCUCGCUCCCCCGCGCCGCCGGACGCCGCCUUCCUCCCCGGUGCCACCGGAUGACGCCUCCCUUCCCCACGUCGCCGGUCGUCGUCUCCUUUUCCUGCCCCGCCGGACACUGCCUCAUUCCCAGAUCCCGCCGCCACCCGCAACACAACCGGCGCCGUGGCUAUCGCCCCACACAUGAUUCAUGAGCUUCUAUCGCUCCACCGCCGUGUACAUGCGGUUCAAAGCUGCAACCACAUGACGUUCAAUCUCUCCGUCGUGGACACCCUCUUCACCUCCUGGUUGCCACUCAUCCCGGUGUUGCCAGGCCGUUUGGUUGGCCACCACUGCGAUCAGCAGUCCAACCCGGCCGCCCCAGGCCGUUGGGUUCGCCACCACUGUGAUCAGCAGUCCAACCAGGCCGCCCCAGGCAGUUCACCGUCACAGCUCCCAGGCCGACUGUGUCGAGCCACCUUCCGCCCGCACCUUGGGCUCCCGUAUGCGCCCCCUACCCCAGCAGGUGCACACGUCCCUGCCCACCGUUUCCCUGUGUUGUUCUUUUGACCUUGAACUAUAUAGGAUACAACUUUUAUUUUAUUUUCAGUUCACCUUUUGCGUUCUUUUCAGUUCAUAAACUUUAAUGUAUUGAUGAAAUCCUGAAAUAUCAUAUGUGCACUCUACGUAUUUGUUCUUAUGCCUACGAACAAUUCUGCACUUGUGCUGUUAUGCAUCAGUUUUGGUCACCAAAAAAAUGGAUGUUUAGAUCUGACAAAAUGGAUUAGAGCACCAUGCCCUCACCCAGAAGUUUGAAAAAAACAAUCAUUGCUUUCAGUUCUAGUAAAAUGUUUUUGUUUAAAACUGGACUGCUGAUUCUUUCUGUAAUGGGCUUUAUAUAUUAUCUUUCCUAUGUCUUACUGUAGGAAAAUAUGGUGGCCUUCAGCAAGUAAUCUUUCUCUAACGUGCAUCCUAUGCCUGCGCCACCGAGAGCCUGAUCCUACUUGCUGCAUGCUCACGGCGACCAAAAUCAUAAUUGCUAGAUGUACUAUCUUGUUGUGCCAAGGCAAUCAAAAACAUAAGUGUUGCUACUCUAAUUCACCCCCGACACCUCGACAGUCGCUAGGCGUGACGCCUCUCCUCCCAAGGACGUGCUCGCCUCGCCGCACCUCCUGCCGGCGAUCUGACCACUUCUCGCGGCAAUGCGCCAUGUGUGGCCCAUGUUCCGGCGUCGCCCUCCGUGGCCUCAGCACGCAGGCCGUUCAACUCCGCCACCUGAGGCCGUUCGCCUCCGCCACCUGAGGCCGUUCACCACCACCAGUCCCUGUCCAAGGCCGCCCCAACGACCCUGUGCGAUAACACCCCUGUCAACCCCGUGGAAUUUUGUUUCUCUCAGCUUCAAAAAGAGGGGACUUCUUGUCGAGAGCACACCAAAUGGAUCUCUGCUUCUGGCCGCGGUGGGAACUCCAGGAUACACACUAUUCAUCGCAUUUGUCAUUGAGCGAUUGCACCACUAUCUUCAGAAGCUCAUCACCCUGAGGAAAUCAGCCAACACCUCCCAGAGGGGAGGUUGAAAAAUUCCAAAUGGAGUUCAAACAUGAAUUUGAGAAAAUUAUUCCUCGGCUAAGUUCGAAAAAUGUCAUUCUGUGAAGUUCGGCUUUUCAGCCAUGGACUAGUCAAUGGUGGAGUUGCAAUUUUGUUUCUUCAGUACAUACAUGAAUCGAAUGUAAUCAACGGAAAGAAACAUAUGUUGAUUCUCCAAGUUAGAGUUCAUUUUUAUUUUCUUACAAGUAGCAAAACUUCCUCUGUAGAUCAGUACAACUUCUGUGCGAUCUUGUGUUCACAAAUCUUGUAGUACUGUUUUUAGAGGGAUCUUUCUAGUACUUUGUAAAGCAAGCGUGAUCCAUUUGUAAAAAUAUGGCAAAAGACAUCCUUCACUCUUGCAGUCUUUUGCUAAAGAAAUGUUUUAAG